GGUGGCGGAAUUGGUAGACGCGCUAGCCUCAGGUGUUAGUGUUCAUAAAGAGGUGGGGGAUCCAGUCCCCCCCACUAAGCACCA
rnacentral:tRNA from 2 species